GAUUUCUGGCUUGCAACAUUUUGCCGGCCACGGUUUCGUGUGUUAGUGCUUGAUGUUCUGGCCAUCCUUCCAAUCGCCGCUGUCCCCUCUUCAUUGAGAGGGCAGUGGUAUUGGAUCUUUUACUUUGAAAAAAUUAGAGUGUUUCAAGCAGGCUUUAUGCUAUGAAUACAUUAGCAUGGAAUAAUAAUUUAGGACUUCGGUUCUAUUUUGUUGGUUUCUAGGACUGAAGUAAUGAUUGAUAGGGACAGUUGGGGGUGCUAGUAUUCAGCGGCCAGAGGUGAAAUUCUUGGAUUCGUUGAAGACUAACUUAUGCGAAAGCAUU
rnacentral:rRNA from 1 species